rnacentral:rRNA from 1 species
UACGGGGGGGGCAAGCGUUGUUCGGAAUUACUGGGCGUAAAGGGCUCGUAGGCGGCCAACUAAGUCAGACGUGAAAUCCCUCGGCUUAACCGUGGAACUGCGUCUGAUACUGGAUGGCUUGAGUUUGGGAGAGGGAUGCGGAAUUCCAGGUGUAGCGGUGAAAUGCGUAGAUAUCUGGAGGAACACCGGUGGCGAAGGCGGCAUCCUGGACCAAUACUGACGCUCAUGUGCGAAAGCGUGGGGAGCAAACAGG